AGAAAUUCUUACUACGACUUUCGAAAAUACUUCUCACAAAAAGAGGGGUUUCUUACGUUCGCGUAAAGAAGACGACAGAGGCGUUCAGUAACUCAGUAACUUCCUAGGCGUAGGUGCGACCAGGUCUUCAGCGUAUGUGCCGAAGUCUGCCCGAGAGAGGGAACUUGAUAGAAGAUCAGAUGAUAGCGAUCAGCUUAAAUCGUGGGGAUCGGCAGAUAAUAUACAG